rnacentral:rRNA from 1 species
UACGUAGGGUGCAAGCGUUAAUCGGAAUUACUGGGCGUAAGCGUGCGCAGGCGGUGAUGUAAGACAGUUGUGAAAUCCCCGGGCUCAACCUGGGAACUGCAUCUGUGACUGCAUCGCUGGAGUGCGGCAGAGGGGGAUGGAAUUCCGCGUGUAGCAGUGAAAUGCGUAGAUAUGCGGAGGAACACCGAUGGCGAAGGCAAUCCCCUGGGCCUGCACUGACGCUCAUGCACGAAAGCGUGGGGAGCAAACAGG